rnacentral:misc_RNA from 1 species
GAUGAAGAACGUAGCGAAAUGCGAUAAGUUAUGUGAAUUGCAGAAUUCAGUGAAUCAUCGAAUCUUUGAACGCACAUUGCGCCCCCCAGUAUUCUGGCGGGCAUGCCUGUUCGAGCGUCAUUUCAACCAUCAAGCCCUGCUUGUGUUGGGGUCCUGCGGCUGCCCGCAGGCCCUGAAAACCAGUGGCGGGCUCGCUAGUCACACCGAGCGCAGUAGCACAUCUCGCUCAGGGCGUGCGGCGGGCUCCAGCCGUUAAAGCACCCACCUUUCGCAAGGUUGACCUCGGAUCAGGUAGGAAUACCCGCUGAACUUAAGCAUAUCAAUAAGCGGAGGA